rnacentral:rRNA from 1 species
GCCGAGCGGUAUUUGUUCUUCGGAACAGAGAGAGCGGCGUACGGGUGCGUAACACGUGUGCAACCUGCCUUUAUCUGGGGGAUAGCCUUUCGAAAGGAAGAUUAAUACCCCAUAAUAUAUUUUACGGCAUCGUAAGAUAUUGAAAACUCCGGUGGAUAGAGAUGGGCACGCGCAAGAUUAGAUAGUUGGUGAGGUAACGGCUCACCAAGUCAAUGAUCUUUAGGGGGCCUGAGAGGGUGAUCCCCCACACUGGUACUGAGACACGGACCAGACUCCUACGGGAGGCAGCAGUGAGGAAUAUUGGACAAUGGGUGAGAGCCUGAUCCAGCCAUCCCGCGUGAAGGAUGACGGCCCUAUGGGUUGUAAACUUCUUUUGUAUAGGGGUAAACCUUUCCACGUGUGGAAAGCUGAAGGUACUAUACGAAUAAGCACCGGCUAACUCCGUGCCAGCAGCCGCGGUAAUACGGAGGGUGCAAGCGUUAUCCGGAUUUAUUGGGUUUAAAGGGUCCGUAGGCGGACUCGUAAGUCAGUGGUGAAAUCUCAUAGCUUAACUAUGAAACUGCCAUUGAUAC